rnacentral:rRNA from 1 species
AUGGCGCCGUGGACCGGCUUAUGGGGCGCUAGGGCCGGCGCCGGCGCCGGUGCCUACCGGGGCACGCCGGUGGUGGUCAAGAUGGAGAACCCCAACUGGUCCAUCUCCGAGAUCUCCCCGGAGGACGCCGAGGACGAGGACUUCCUCGUCUCCGGCGCCGGCGCCGCCCGCCGCCGCAAGGGCGGCCGCGGGAAGAACGCCAAACAGAUCACCUGGGUGCUGCUCCUCAAGGCGCACCGCGCCGCCGGCUGCCUCGCCUCGCUGGCCUCCGCGGCCGUCACCCUCGGCGCCGCCGCCAGGCGCCGCGUGGCCGACGGCCGCACCGAUGCCGACGCCGGCGCCACGCCCGGCUCGGCGGGCGAGAGCCCCGUGCUCCGCUCCCGCUUCUACGCCUUCAUUAGGGCCUUCCUCCUCCUCUCCCUGCUCCUCCUCGCGGUCGAGCUCGCCGCGCGCUUCCACGGCUGGGACCUCGCCGCCUCCGCCCUGGCCCUCCCCAUUAUCGGCGUCGAGUCGCUCUACGCCUCCUGGCUGCGCCUCCGCGCCGCCUACCUCGCGCCGCUGCUCCAGUUCCUCACCGACGCCUGCGUCGUGCUCUUCCUCAUCCAGAGCGCCGACCGCCUCAUCCAGUGCCUCGGCAGCUUCUACAUCACCGUGAAGCGCAUCAAGCCCAGGCUCAAGUCCCCGGCGCUGCCGGACGCCGAGGACCCCGACGCCGGCUACUACCCCAUGGUGCUCGUGCAGAUACCAAUGUGCAACGAGAAAGAGGUCAGUGUCGCUCGCUCUCAAGCCGCACCAUUAAUCCCCUUUCCAAAUUCGCAGCCUCGUAACCAGCCAUUGUUCGUCGUGCAGGUGUAUCAGCAAUCAAUUGCGGCCGUCUGCAACCUCGAUUGGCCGAGGUCCAACUUCUUGGUUCAGGUUUUAGAUGACUCCGACGACCCGACGACGCAGUCGCUCAUCAGGGAGGAGGUCGCGAAGUGGCAGCAGACCGGGGCCCGGAUUCUGUACCGGCACCGCGUGCUCAGGGACGGGUACAAGGCCGGGAACCUCAAGUCGGCCAUGGCCUGCAGCUACGUCAAGGAUUACGAAUUUGUUGCCAUCUUUGACGCUGACUUCCAACCAAACCCCGACUUUUUAAAGCGCACUGUGCCACAUUUCAAGGACAAUGAUGAAUUGGGGCUGGUGCAAGCGAGAUGGUCGUUUGUGAACAAGGAUGAGAACUUAUUGACUCGGUUGCAGAACAUCAAUCUUUGCUUCCACUUUGAGGUGGAGCAGCAGGUGAAUGGUGUCUUCUUAAACUUCUUUGGGUUCAAUGGCACGGCCGGCGUGUGGAGGAUCAAGGCGCUGGAGGAGUCCGGCGGGUGGAUGGAGCGGACAACAGUGGAGGAUAUGGACAUUGCGGUUCGGGCGCAUCUCCAUGGCUGGAAGUUUAUCUUCCUGAACGAUGUCGAGUGCCAAUGUGAACUGCCAGAGUCAUACGAGGCUUACAGGAAGCAGCAACAUCGGUGGCAUUCCGGUCCAAUGCAGCUAUUCAGGCUUUGCAUACCGGACAUCAUCAAGUCCAAGAUUUCGGUGUGGAAGAAAUUCAACCUGAUCUUCCUCUUCUUCCUACUCCGGAAGCUCAUACUACCCUUCUACUCCUUCACGCUCUUCUGCAUCAUCCUCCCGAUGACCAUGUUUGUGCCCGAAGCCGAGCUCCCGGACUGGGUCGUAUGCUACAUCCCUGCCCUUAUGUCCCUGCUCAACAUCCUGCCGUCCCCGAAGUCGUUCCCUUUCAUCAUCCCAUACCUGCUCUUCGAGAACACCAUGUCGGUGACCAAGUUCAACGCCAUGAUCUCGGGCCUGUUCCAGCUCGGCAGCGCCUACGAGUGGGUUGUGACCAAGAAGUCGGGGCGGUCGUCGGAGGGCGACCUCAUCUCCCUGGCGGCGGCGCCGCCCAGGGAGCUGCGGCACCACCCGAAGACCGGGUCGGCGCCGAGCAUGGAGGCGCUGAUGGUGCUCAAGGAGCAGCCGAGCCCGAAGAAGGAAGGGAAGAAGCAGCAGAAGAAGCACAACCGGAUAUACAAGAAGGAGCUGGCGCUGUCGCUGCUCCUGCUGACGGCCGCCGCUCGCAGCCUGCUGACGAAGCAGGGUAUACACUUCUACUUCCUGCUGUUCCAGGGCAUCUCCUUCUUGUUAGUAGGCCUUGACCUCAUAGGCGAGCAGGUCGAAUGA